rnacentral:tRNA from 1 species
GGGGUUGUGGCUCAGUGGUAGAGCACUCGCUUUGCACGUGCGAGACCCUGGGUUCGAUCCUCAGCACCACA